UACGUAGGGGCAAGCGUUGUCCGGAAUCAUUGGGCGUAAAGAGCGUGUAGGCGGCUCGAUAAGUCUGCUGUGAAAGUCCAGGCUCAACCCUGGAAGGCCGGUGGAAACUGUCGGGCUAGAGUUCGGAAGAGGCGAGUGGAAUUCCCGGUGUAGCGGUGAAAUGCGCAGAUAUCGGGAGGAACACCAAUGGCGAGGCAGCUCGCUGGACGUUACGUGUCGCUGAGACGCGAAAGCGUGGGAGCA
rnacentral:rRNA from 1 species